CCUACGGGUGGCAGCAGUGGGGAAUAUUGCGCAAUGGGCGAAAGCCUGACGCAGCGACGCAGCGUGAGGGAUGAAGGUCUUCGGAUUGUAAACCUCUGUCAGCAGGGAAGAACGGUCACUGUGCUAAUCAGCAGUGAAUUGACGGUACCUGCAAAGGAAGCACCGGCUAACUCCGUGCCAGCAGCCGCGGUAAUACGGAGGGUGCGAGCGUUAAUCGGAAUUACUGGGCGUAAAGCGCUCGUAGGGGGUAUGUCAAGGCAAGGGGGAAAUCCCCGCGCUCAACCUGGGAACUGCCUUUGAAACUGGCAAACUGGAGUGUGUGAGAGGUAAGUGGAAUUCCAGGUGUAGAGGUGAAAUCCGUAGAUAUCUGGAAGAACAUCAGUGGCGAAGGCAGCUAUCUGGCACUAAACUGACGCUGAGGAGCGAAAGCGUGGGUAGCAAACAGGAUUAGAUACCCCUGUAGUC
rnacentral:rRNA from 1 species